UUGGAGGGCAGUCUGGUGCCAGCAGCCGCGGUAAUUCCAGCUCCAAUAGCGUAUAUUAAAGUUGUUGCAGUUAAAAAGCUCGUAGUUGAAUUUCGGAGUUUGUCGGUUGGUCGGGCUUCAUUGUCCGCACUGGCCUGAUGGAUUCCUACCUUCUGAAUAACCAGCAUGCCAUUAAGUUAGUGCGUUGGGGAAGCAGAGCUAUUACCUUGAAAAAAUUAGAGUGCUUAAAGCAGGCUUACGCUUGAAUAGAUUAGCAUGGAAUAAUAAAAUAGGACGGCAUGGUUCUAUUUUGUUGGUUUCUAGGAUCACCGUAAUGAUUAAUAGGGAUAGUUGGGGGCAUUAGUAUUCAAUUGUCAGAGGUGAAAUUCUUGGAUUUAUUGAAGACUAACUUCUGCGAAAGCAUUUGCCAAGGAUGUUUUCAUUAGUCAAGAACGAAAGUUAGGGGAUCGAAGACGAUCAGAUACCGUCGUAGUCUUAACCAUAAACUAUGCCGACUAGGGAUCGGACGAUGUUAAUUUUUUAAUGACUCGUUCGGCGCCUUACGGGAAAC
rnacentral:rRNA from 1 species